GAUGAACGCUAGCUACAGGCUUAACACAUGCAAGUCGAGGGGUAACGAGAGGAAAGCUUGCUUUCCUUGUCGACGACCGGCGCACGGGUGAGUAACGCGUAUCCAACCUGCCCCCAACUAGGGAAUAACCUUGCGAAAGUAAGACUAAUACCCUAUAAUUUCCUCAGAUGUCAUCUGACGAGGAAUAAAGAUUUAUCGGUUGUGGAUGGGGAUGCGUCUGCUUAGCUUGUUGGCGGGGUAACGGCCCACCAAGGCAACGAUCAGUAGGGGUUCUGAGAGGAAGGGCCCCCACAUUGGAACUGGGACACGGUCCAAACUCCUACGUGAGGAAGCAGUGAGGAAUAUUGGUCAAUGGGCGGAAGCCUGAACCAGCCAAGUAGCGUACAGGAUGACGGCCCUAUGGGUUGUAAACUGCUUUUAUACAGGAAUAAAGUUAGCCACGUGUGGUUAUUUGUAGGUACUGUAUGAAUAAGGACCGGCUAAUUCCGUGCCAGCCGCCGCAGUAA
rnacentral:rRNA from 1 species